CAGUAGCCGCGGUAAUACGUAGGGUGCGAGCGUUAAUCGGAAUUACUGGGCGUAAAGCGUGCGCAGGCGGUUGUGUAAGACAGGUGUGAAAUCCCCGGGCUUAACCUGGGAACUGCGCUUGUGACUGCACAGCUAGAGUAUGGCAGAGGGGGGUGGAAUUCCACGUGUAGCAGUGAAAUGCGUAGAGAUGUGGAGGAACACCGAUGGCGAAGGCAGCCCCCUGGGCCAACACUGACGCUCAUGCACGAAAGCGUGGGGAGCAAACAGGAUUAGAUACCCGCGUAGUCCCUGUCUCUUAUAC
rnacentral:rRNA from 1 species